rnacentral:lncRNA from 1 species
UUUUUGGUGGUAAAAUACAUACAACAUAAAAACACUCUUCUGUUUUCUGUCUCUAUGGAGGUGACUAUUCUAGGAACAUCAUAUAAGAGGAAUCACACAUAAAAUAGAUAACCAACAAGGACGUAAUAUAUAGCACAGGGGACGAUACUUAUUUUGCAAUAACCUACAGGGGGACAGAGUCUAAAAAAUAUAUAAUUAACUGAAUUGCUGUGCUGUAGCCUGAAACUAACAUGAUACUGUAAAUCAACUAUACUUCAAUUUUUAAAUUUUUCAUUUAAAAAAGGAAUCACACAAUAUUUGCCCUUUUGCACCUAGAUGACUUCAUGUAGCAUAAUGACUUUAAGGUUCAUCCAUGUUAUGGUAGGUGUCUGAAUUCCCUUCACUUUUAAGGCCAAAUAAUAUUCCAUCACAUGUAUACACAAAUUUGCUCACCCAUUCACCUUUAAAUAAACAUUUGGGGAGUUCCUGUCGUGGUUCAACAGAAACAGAUCCGACUAGCAUCCACGAGGACCCAGGUUCGAUCCCUGGCCUCGCUUAGCGGGUUAAGGAUAUGGCAUUGCUGUGAGCUGUGGUGUAGGUUGCAGACACGGCUCAGAUCCCAUGUUGCCAUGGCUGCAGUGUAGGCCGGGAUCGAACCCACAACCUCAUGGUUCCUAGUCGGAUUCGUUUCCGCUGCGCCACGACGGGAACUCCUGCUUUCAUUUUUAAAUGGAAGCUUUACAAUCAUAAUUCAUACACUAAGGCUGGACACUGCCUUCUCCAGAUCUUUUUUUAAUAUAAAUAUUCGGCGAGUGGCAUGACAUGAAGACGAACGCUUUGGCGUGAAUGCCUUCAAGUAGGAAAUAUCAGAGGGGUGGUGUGUAGAGAAAGAGAAUGUGGGAAAGGCGACGCUAACAGGUAUGAAAAAUGAACUUGGCACAUGGCUCCUCUAACUCAAAACCUCAAGUUCCAAAGAUUUAUGGACUAAAACUUCAGAACUAUAAAAUACAAUUCUCAGGAAACAUAGUUGCAACAGGCGAUGGAUCAUUACGACAGCCGCUUAUGCAAGCCGUAAACUCCCAGGGCCAACGAACUGGGUCAGAUAUUAAUUUCCACGAUGGGCAGGGUAACUAGAGACACGUAAUGUCACCGUUUCUCUUUUCAGAUCACACAGGGAGCUUUCAUUUCAAAAAAAAGCCAUAAGGUCCCCAGUUUAGGGACUAGUACCUGCGCCCUACCCCUCGCCCCCGCCCAAUACAGGGCAAAUAAAGACUUCCCAUUAUAAUGCCCUGCAACACUAUUAUUUUUUUUUAACUCUUUUUUUUUUUUUUGUUCUUCAUUGAGGCCCUAAAAAGCAAAAAAAAAAAAAAAAAACCCAAAAACCUCUGCAUAUGCACAUAACUCUACAGUUGGCCCUCCAUCUUUAGUUCCUCCAUAUCUGAGGUCCUGCAUCGUCAGAUGCAACCAACCUCAGAUGGUGCAGUAGCUACUUAGUGAAAAAAAUCCUCAUGUAAUUGGAUCCGAGCAAUUCAAACUCAUGUUGUUCAAGAGCUGUGCAAAGUCAGGCCUCGGUAUCCGCAGCUUCAACCAACGUGGUUAUGGACUGUAUUUACCACCAGCAGGAGGCUGAACCCCUGGAGGCCAAACCGAGGACACUGGGGCUGACCCCGGGAGUUGAGCACCCGUGGAUUUGGGUAUCCAAGGCUGAUCCCGCAACCAGUCCCCUGAGGAUACGGAUGGAGGGCUAACUAGACUGAUAGACGGGGAGGAAUCUAAUGUCAGGCCCUGCGUUCUAACUAGGGGUUCGGAAAGUUUCUUAACGGUGCACAACAGACACCCCAUUCAUCCCCUUCGACGGCGCUCCCUUCGGAAGGGCAGCAAUAGGAGACAUCCUCCGGACCCCCCAUCCCCACCCCAGAGUUAAUAUUCCCCUUGUUAGAAUCCAUAGCAAAUUUUAUGGACAAGUCAUAAACCAUCCGAAUUAAGCAGUUCACACAGAAACCCGCAUCUUCGUCUCAGCCGAGCGGCACCUUCGCACCCUGUAAUUAGCCUCUGCCGAAUGAAUAUUAAGUCCCGUGGAGGUAAGAAGGGUCAAUUAUAUCAUCGAAUGAAGAAAAGGAAGACACUUGUCUUGGCCUCUGGUUCGGUCUUAAAUUAACUUUUCAUCUGGAACAAAAUGUUAGAUUCGCUCUUCCUACAUUCUAAAAAUUUUCUUCCGCGGAAACGGUAAGACGUAUUAAAAAUGUAAGAGACCUGAGAAAUCAGAGGAGAAUCGCUCCAUGGGCAUAAAGCUUAGUUCUAAUAUUUCCUCUUUGCGAGCUGGCAUGAAAGUCCAGGGACAGCGCGGACUUAAGUGCCGCCAGAUUAAAUGAGUGGGGACCUGGUGGCCCUCACGGGCUAGGGGAGUUUUGGGGCCACAGGGCAAGUGGGGCUCACAAGUGGGACCCAAGGGCCCCUGGACAGGUUUCCUCUCACUGAUCCCCAAGCCACCUGAGCUCGGCUCCUGUUAUCCUCAAGGAAGUCAAACCCAACAGGGAGAGACCCUAAACUUAUCUCUGAGUGGCCCUCCCAAAGAUGAGAGGCUCAGAGAAGGUGGGGGAAAGCAAAGCUAUAAAAGGGGGAAAGGUUCAGUGGUUGCACUCUGGGCCUCCCAUCGCUUGGGAAGUCAGCCAGGGGACAAAUCCCAGCGAUAUACAAAUGAAAUAGGUAAGCCCCAGCCCAUGGUACCAGCCCAAGCUCCUUCCUGUGGCACUUGGUCUAUGGAAGAAGACCCCAGGCUGGCUCCGCAGGGCUGCAGGCGUCUGGCUUCAGAAACCCCAUCCUAACAAGACCUCCAGUGCCGCCUCACUUGUGCCAAGCAUCCGCUUCUUCAGGGCGCAUGAGGGCAAAGAACUUUCUGGAAAACUGUGUCUGUGGUUCUUCUCUGGUACUGAAUCCUGAGAUACCCCAGGGAGACUUCCUAAGCAAUCUGACAGAGGGCCAGGCCCCCUGAGGUGCCCGUGAGGUGCUUCCCAAAAUAUCCUAAGACACAAAUAAAAGUGCUGAGUGACGUCACAUGGGGUAGGGAGCUUGAGAGCGGAGUGACUGGCAAGCUAGGGGGUGGCCGGGGAACAAUAAUAAGGGAACUGAAAACGAUAUUCACUGCAAAAGAGAGCAGAGCAAGUCAAUUACAGAAGAAACGGUACCUGGGUCCCCAGGGUCCCCAGCACAGCUUUAGCACAACCUCAACAGCAAGAAUUUCCCGGGGUGGGGCCCUAGAGCCAUGUGUUACCACAGCCAGGGGGGCACAUGCAAUUCCCCCACCCACCCUGCCACUGCUGACUUCUCGUGAGGGCUGACUCACAUGGUCCUGGGGGAGAGGCACUGGGAUGCCCCACUUAACAGAUGAAGAAACUGAGGUUCAGGCAGAUCAGUCCCUGUCCAGAACCACCCAAGCUGCUAACUGGAUUGGGAGCCCUUGUCUUUGUGACUUCAAGGCCCCCACUCUAUCUCCCUUGCAGGGGAACUCGUAAUAAUAUUAAAAUACCCCCAGUGAGUCAGAAAAAAGAUCUGUCCCAGUGGAGACCUGACAUGCUCUUGACUGGAGCUGCUCCACAGAGAUUUUUCCCCUCCUCCACUGUAAGCAGUGGAAUUUGGGGGUUCUGGGAAAUGCAGAGGGUGGAUAAGAGGCAAAACCUUAUCUCCUAAAGGGAACCCUCCUACACUGUUGGUAGGAAGGUAAAUUAGUACAACCACUGUGGAAGAGAGAGCAUGGAGGGCCCUCAGAAAACUAAAUAUAGAACCACCAGAUGAUCCAGCCAUCCCAGCCCUGGGCAUCUAUCUCAACAAAACUGUAAUUCAACAAGAUACAUGUACCCAUUAGGUUCCAAGCAGCACUAUACACGAUAGCUAAGACAUGGAAACAACCUAAAUGCCCAUCGAUAAAUGAAUGGAUGAAGAAGUUAUGGUACAUAUAUACAAUGCAAGAUUUAUUCAGCCAUAAAAAAGAACAAAAUAUUGCCCUUUGCAGCAACAUGGAUGGACCUAGAGAUUCUCAUAGGAAGUGAAGUCAGAAAGAGAAAGACAAAAAAUACCAUAUGACAGCACUUACAUGUGGAAUCUAAACUGUGGCACAGGAGUUCCCGUCAUGGCGCAGUGGUUAACAAAUCCGAUUAGGAACCAUGAGGUUGCGGGUUCAGUCCCUGCCCUUGCUCAGUGGGUUAACGAUCCUGCGUUGCCGUGAGUGUGGUGUAGGUUGCAGACGCGGCUCGGAUCCUGCGUUGCUGUGGCUCUGGCGUGGGCCGGUGGCUACAGCUCCGAUUGGACCCCUAGCCUGGGAACCUCCAUAUGCCGCAGGAGUGGCCCAAGAAAUAGCAAAAAAAAGACAAAAAUUAAUAAAUAAAUAAACUGUGGCACAAAUAAACCUAUCUACGAAACAGAAACAACUCACAGACAUAGAGAACCUCUUGUGGUUGCCAAGAGGGACGGGGAGGGAGUGGGAGGGAGUAGGAGUUUGGGGUUAGUAGAUGCAAAUUAUUACAAUUAGAAUGGAUAAGCAAUGAGGUCCUGCUGGAUAGUACAGGGAACUAUAUCCAACCCCUUGGGGUAGAACACGAUGGAAGAUAAUAUGAGAAAAAAGAAUGUACAUGUGUGUGUGACUGGGUCACUUUGCCAUACAGCAGAAACUGACACAAUAUUGUCAAUCAACUACAAUAAAAAAUUUAAAAAACAAAACAAAAACAAACAGAAAAACCCCAUGU